rnacentral:misc_RNA from 1 species
GAUGAAGAACGCAGCGAAAUGCGAUAAGUAAUGUGAAUUGCAGAAUUCAGUGAAUCAUCGAAUCUUUGAACGCACAUUGCGCCCGUCAGUAUUCUGGCGGGCAUGCCUGUUCGAGCGUCAUUACGCCCCUCAAGUCCCCUGUGGACUUGGUGUUGGGGAUCGGCGAGGCUGGUUUUCCAGCACAGCCGUCCCUUAAAUUAAUUGGCGGUCUCGCCGUGGCCCUCCUCUGCGCAGUAGUAAAACACUCGCAACAGGAGCCCGGCGCGGUCCACUGCCGUAAAACCCCCCAACUUUUUAUAGUUGACCUCGAAUCAGGUAGGACUACCCGCUGAACUUAAGCAUAUCAAUAAUCGGAGGA